CGCGGGGUGGAGAAGUACGGUAGCUCGUCGGGCUCAUAACCCGAAGGUCGCAGGUUCAAAUCCUGUCCCCGCAACCA
rnacentral:tRNA from 1 species